AAGAACCCGAGCCCAAAUUGAAGACCACGUGUGUUGCUCCAGGACCGUUAGAUCCCUCAUAUUAUAUCUAUGGUUGGAUGGCCUUUUAUAUAAAUGGCGCGCCUUAUAAGUUGCCUUGGACUGAGCGUUUCAUUUUUCUAUCGUCUCUUGAACUCUCUAGAAACCCUAGUCUUUCUGGUUACUUUCUCCUUCAUCUUCUUCGAGUUUCCUUUGUAAAUCUUCUGUGAUUUUGGGCUAUAUUUCUGUGUGACUGAGUUGAAUCUAAGUGAUUCUUUGAGGAGUGAGAGGGUUGUUAUAUGAUCUAGAGGUUUUCUAUUUGGUCCUGUUGAAGUAGCUGCAUUCGGUGUUUUCUUAGUGAGAAUCUUGGGGUUUUCUCUUGGGUAUUUUACAAGUGUACAGAAGGGUACAACGAAUAUUCUAAGCCCAUGAGUCGAUGACACCUUGUGUCAAUGUUUGAUUCGAGUCUGUAAUAUUUUCAGUGAUAUUUUCGAUUAUACUUUGUGUAUGUUUGGGUUCUUGACAUAAUAGUGGUAUUAGAGCCAUCAGUGGCAUCUGGGCUUCGUUCGAUAGAGACCUGGUUGUGAGAAAUCAAUUCUCACAGUCAGAUCUAAAAAGUUACUUGGGUUUCAAUUUUUUCCUGAAAAACCCUAGAUCUGUUUCUUGUUAAUAGAUCUUAUAUAUUUUUUCUUUGUUCAUAUCUUUACCGUUGAUAUUGG
rnacentral:lncRNA from 1 species